GCCCUGGUGGUGCAGUGGUUAAGCACUUGGCUGCAAACUAAAAGGUUGGUAGUUCAAACCCACUCCGUGACU
rnacentral:tRNA from 1 species